rnacentral:rRNA from 1 species
AGAGUUUGAUCCUGGCUCAGGAUGAACGCUAGCGACAGGCUUAACACAUGCAAGUCGAGGGGCAGCGGGGAGGUAGCAAUACUUCCGCCGGCGACCGGCGCACGGGGUGAGUAACACGUAUGGAACCUGCCCGUAGCAGGGGGAUAAACGGAAGAAAUUCCGUCUAAUACCGCGUAAUAACUCCGAGAGGCAUCUCAUGGAGUUUAAAGGGUAACACCGGCUACGGAUGGCCAUGCGGCGCAUUAGCUAGUUGGCGGGGUAACGGCCCACCAAGGCGACGAUGCGUAGGGGUUCUGAGAGGAAGGUCCCCCACACUGGUACUGAGACACGGACCAGACUCCUACGGGAGGCAGCAGUGAGGAAUAUUGGUCAAUGGGCGCGAGCCUGAACCAGCCAAGUCGCGUGAGGGAAGACGGUCCUAUGGAUUGUAAACCUCUUUUGUCGGGGAGCAAAAGACGCCACGUGUGGCGUCCCGAGAGUACCCGAAGAAAAAGCAUCGGCUAACUCCGUGCCAGCAGCCGCGGUAAUACGGAGGAUGCGAGCGUUAUCCGGAUUUAUUGGGUUUAAAGGGUGCGCAGGCGGAAGAUCAAGUCAGCGGUAAAAUUGAGAGGCUCAACCUCUUCGAGCCGUUGAAACUGGUUUUCUUGAGUGAGCGAGAAGUAUGCGGAAUGCGUGGUGUAGCGGUGAAAUGCAUAGAUAUCACGCAGAACUCCGAUUGCGAAGGCAGCAUACCGGCGCUCAACUGACGCUCAUGCACGAAAGUGUGGGUAUCGAACAGGAUUAGAUACCCUGGUAGUCCACACAGUAAACGAUGAAUACUAAUUGUUUGGGGAGAAUGAUCCCUGAGUGAUACAGCGAAAGCGUUAAGUAUUCCACCUGGGGAGUACGCCGGCAACGGUGAAACUCAAAGGAAUUGACGGGGGCCCGCACAAGCGGAGGAACAUGUGGUUUAAUUCGAUGAUACGCGAGGAACCUUACCCGGGCUCAAACGACACAGGAAUACUUUUGAAAGGAGGUAGCUCUACGGAGUCUGUGUCGAGGUGCUGCAUGGUUGUCGUCAGCUCGUGCCGUGAGGUGUCGGCUUAAGUGCCAUAACGAGCGCAACCCCCAUCGCCAGUUACCAGCAAGUCAAGUUGGGGACUCUGGCGAGACUGCCGGCGCAAGCUGUGAGGAAGGCGGGGAUGACGUCAAAUCAGCACGGCCCUUACGUCCGGGGCGACACACGUGUUACAAUGGCAGGUACAGAGAGAAGCAAUGCGGCGACGCAAAGCGGAACUUGAAAGCCUGUCUCAGUUCGGAUUGGAGUCUGCAACUCGACUCCAUGAAGCUGGAUUCGCUAGUAAUCGCGCAUCAGCCAUGGCGCGGUGAAUACGUUCCCGGGCCUUGCACUCACCGCCCGUCA